rnacentral:rRNA from 1 species
GACGAACGCUGGCGGCGUGCCUAAUGCAUGCAAGUCGAGCGGGCUACAGUCUUCGGAUUGUAGCUUAGCGGCGAACGGGUGAGUAACACGUAGGUAAUCUACCCUUCAGAGGAGGACAACCUCAGGAAACUGAGGCUAAACCUCCAUACGUUCAUAUGCAGGGAUGCAGAUGAAGAAAGAGUUACCCGUGAGGGUAGCUGCUGAAGGAUGAGCCUGCGGCCCAUCAGGUAGUUGGUGAGGUAACGGCUCACCAAGCCUAAGACGGGUAACCGGUCUGAGAGGAUGUCCGGUCACACUGGGACUGAGAUACGGUCCAGACUCCUACGGGAGGCAGCAGUAGGGAAUAUUGGGCAAUGGGCGGAAGCCUGACCCAGCCAUGCCGCGUGAAGGAAGACGGCCUUAUGGGUUGUAAACUUCUUUAACUAUGCGACUAACUAGAUUUACGAGAUAAUUCUAUAGAAUGUAGCAAUAGCAAAAAGCAACCGGCUAACUCCGUCG